UACGUAGGGACCAAGCGUUUGUUCGGAUUUACUGGGCGUAAAGGGCGCGUAGGCGGCGUGUUAAGUCAGCUGUGAAAUCUCCGAGCUUAACUCGGAACGGUCAGCUGAUACUGAUGUGCUAGAGUGCAGAAGGGGCAAUCGGAAUUCUUGGUGUAGCGGUGAAAUGCGUAGAUAUCUGGAGGAAUACCGGUGGCGAAGGCGGCAUCCUGGACCGGCAUUGACGCUGAGGAGCGAAAGCUAGGGGAGCAAACGGG
rnacentral:rRNA from 1 species